rnacentral:rRNA from 1 species
UUCCGCAAUGGGCGAAAGCCUGACGGAGCAACGCCGCGUGAGGGAUGAAGGCCUCUGGGCUGUAAACCUCUUUUCUCAAGGAAGAAGACCUGACGGUACUUGAGGAAUAAGCCACGGCUAAUUCCGUGCCAGCAGCCGCGGUAAUACGGGAGUGGCAAGCGUUAUCCGGAAUUAUUGGGCGUAAAGCGUCCGCAGGCGGCCUUUUAAGUCUGUUGUCAAAGCGUGGAGCUUAACUCCAUUUGAGCAAUGGAAACUGGGAGGCUUGAGUGUGGUAGGGGCAGAGGGAAUUCCCGGUGUAGCGGUGAAAUGCGUAGAUAUCGGGAAGAACACCAGUGGCGAAGGCGCUCUGCUGGGCCAUCACUGACGCUCAUGGACGAAAGCCAGGGGAGCGAAAGGGAUUAGAUACCCCUGUAGUCCUGGCCGUAAACGAUGAACACUAGGUGUCGGGGGAAUCGACCCCCUCGGUGUCGUAGCCAACGCGUUAAGUGUUCCGCCUGGGGAGUACGCACGCAAGUGUGAAACUCAAAGGAAUUGACGGGGGCCCGCACAAGCGGUGGAGUAUGUGGUUUAAUUCGAUGCAACGCGAAGAACCUUACCAGGGUUUGACAUCCUGCGAAUCCCUUGGAAACUAGGGAGUGCCUUCGGGAACGCAGAGACAGGUGGUGCAUGGCUGUCGUCAGCUCGUGUCGUGAGAUGUUGGGUUAAGUCCCGCAACGAGCGCAACCCACGUCUUUAGUUGCCAGCAUUAAGUUGGGCACUCUAGAGAGACCGCCGGUGAUAAACCGGAGGAAGGUGUGGAUGACGUCAAGUCAUCAUGCCCCUUACAUCCUGGGCUACACACGUACUACAAUGCUACGGACAGAGGGCAGCAAACUCGCGAGAGCUAGCAAAUCCCAUAAACCGUGGCUCAGUUCAGAUCGUAGGCUGCAACUCGCC